rnacentral:rRNA from 1 species
GACGAACGCUGGCGGCGUGCUUAACACAUGCAAGUCGAACGGUAAGGCCCUUCGGGGUACACGAGUGGCGAACGGGUGAGUAACACGUGGGUGAUCUGCCCUGCACUUCAGGAUAAGCCUGGGAAACUGGGUCUAAUACCGGAUAGGACCCUGGGAUGCAUGUCCUGGGGUGGAAAGCUUUUGCGGUGUGGGAUGGGCCCGCGGCCUAUCAGCUUGUUGGUGGGGUGAUGGCCUACCAAGGCGACGACGGGUAGCCGGCCUGAGAGGGUGACCGGCCACACUGGGACUGAGAUACGGCCCAGACUCCUACGGGAGGCAGCAGUGGGGAAUAUUGCACAAUGGGCGCAAGCCUGAUGCAGCGACGCCGCGUGAGGGAUGACGGCCUUCGGGUUGUAAACCUCUUUCAGCAUCGACGAAGCGAAAGUGACGGUAGGUGCAGAAGAAGGACCGGCCAACUACGUGCCAGCCGCCGCCGUAA